rnacentral:rRNA from 1 species
UCGGCGGAAUGCUCAGUAACACGUCGGUAAUCUGCCCUAUGGUCAUCGAUAACUUCGGGAAACUGAAGGUAAACGAUGAUAGGAAAAUCGCCUGGAAUGGUUUUUUCCCAAACUCGUGCCAUAGGAUGAGGUGGCGGUCGAUUAGGUCGUUGGCGGGGUAAUGGACCACCAAGCCUAAGAUCAGUACGGGCCUUGAGAGAGGUAGCCCGGAGAGGGACACUGAGAUACUGGUCCCAGCCCUACGGGGUGCAGCAGGCGCGUAACCUUUACAAUGCGCGCAAGUGUGAUAAGGGUAUCCCGAGUGCUCAUGUUUUACAUGGGCUUUUGCCAAGAGUAAAUAUCUUGGAGAAUAAGUGGUGGGUAAGACUGGUGCCAGCCGCCGCGGUAACACCAGCGCCACAAGUGGCAACCACGUUUAUUGGGCCUAAAGCGUCCGUAGCCGGUUUGGUAAAUCUCUUGUGAAAUCGUCAGGCUCAACCUGACGGCGUGCAUGAGACACUGCCAAACUCGAGACCGGGAGGAGUCAAAGGUAUUUCAGGGGGAGCGGUAAAAUGUGAUAAUCCCUGGAAGAUCACCUAUGGCGAAGGCAUUUGACCAGAACGGAUCUGACGGUCAGGGACGAAGGCUAGGGGAGCGAUCCGGAUUAGAUACCCGAGUAGUCCUAGCAGUAAACGCUGCGAGCAAGAUGUUGCAUAUCUCAUGAGGAUAUGCAGUAUCGAAGCGAAGGUGUUAAGUUCGCCGCCUGGGAAGUACGGUCGCAAGACUGAAACUUUAAGGAAUUGGCGGGGGAGCACUACAAGGGGUGCGGCGUGCGGUUUAAUCUAAUUUAACACAGAGAAUCUCACCAGAAGCGACGGCAGGAUGAAGGUCAGUCUAAAGGGCUUACCCUACGAGCCGAGAGGUAGUGCAUGGCCGCCGUCAGCUCGUACCGUAAGGUGUCCUGUUAAGUCAGGCAACGAGCGAGACCUAUACCUGCUAUUACUAACAGCUGUAUUUGGGACCGGGCACAUUGUGAGAACCGCCCUGGAAACGGGGAGGAAGGUGUAGGCUACGGUAGGUCUGUAUGCUCCGAAUCUUCUGGGCUACACGCGCGCAACAAUGGUAAGGACAAUAGGAUGCAACUCCGUAAGGAGAAGCCAAUCCUUCAAACAUUACCUCAGUUCGGAUUGCGGAUUGAAACUCAUCCGCAUGACGCCGGAAUCCCUAGUAAUCAGAAUUCAUCAAAUUCUGGUGAUAUGUCCUGCUCCUUGCACACACCGCCCGU